AUCGAACGCUGGCGGCAGGCCUAACACAUGCAAGUCGAGCGAGCGGCGGACGGGUGAGUACUGUCUGGGAAACUGCCUGAUGGAGGGGGAUCACUACUGGAAACGGUAGCUAAUACCGCAUACCAUCAGAUUUGCCCAGAGGGGAUUAGCUAGGAGGUGGGGAAAUGGCGCACCUAGGCGACGAUCCCUAGCUGGUCUGAGAGGUUGACCAGCAACACUGGAACUGAGACACGGCCCAGCCUCCUACGGGAGGCAGCAGUGGGGAAUAUUGCGCAAUGGGCGCAAGCCUGAUGCAGCCAUGCCGCGUGGGUGAAGAAGGCUUUCGGGUUGUAAAGCACUUUCAGCAGGGAGGCGUUACCCACACAAGAAGCACCGGCUAACUCCGUGCCAGCCGCCGCGGUAAUAC
rnacentral:rRNA from 1 species